rnacentral:sRNA from 1 species
UCCGUAGGUGAACCUGCGGAAGGAUCAUUCAUAAUCAAGUGUUUUUAUGGCACUUUCAAAAAUCCAUAUCCACCUUGUGUGCAAUGUCAUCUCACUGGAGGUCAACGGCUGUAAAAAUCCGUUGGUCACCUUUGGGAUUUAUAUCUACUCAGAACUUUAGUGAUUUUGUCUAAAACAUAUUAUGAAUACUUAAUUCAAAAUACAACUUUCAACAACGGAUCUCUUGGCUCUCGCAUCGAUGAAGAACGCAGCGAAAUGCGAUACGUAAUGUGAAUUGCAGAAUUCAGUGAAUCAUCGAAUCUUUGAACGCAUAUUGCGCUCUCUGGUAUUCCGGAGAGCAUGCUUGUUUGAGUAUCAGUAAACACCUCAACUCCCCUUUCUUUUUUGAAAUGGGAGCUGGACUUGAGUGAUCCCAACGCUUUUCUCACCGAAAAGUGGCGGGUUACUUGAAAUGCAGGUGCAGCUGGACUUUUCUCUGAGCUAAAAGCAUAUCUAUUUAGUCUGCCUAAAAAACAGAUUAUUACCUUUGCUGCAGCUAACAUAAAGGAGAUUAGUUCUUGUGCUGACUGAUGCAGGAUUCACAGAGACAGCUUCGGCUGGCUUUGUAAACUCGAUCUCAAAUCAAGUAAGACUACCCGCUGAACUUAAGCAUAUCAAUAAGCGGAGGAAAAGAAACUAACAAGGAUUCCCCUAGUAACGGCGAGUGAAGCGGGAUGAGCUCAAAUUUAAAAUCUGGCUGGUUUACUAGUCCGAAUUGUAGUUUAAAGAAGCGUUUUCGGUGGCAGCCUGGGUAUAAAUCCUUUGGAACAGGGUAUCAUAGAGGGUGAGAAUCCCGUCUUUGACUCAGUGCAUGCUACUAUGUGAUACGUUUUCAAAGAGUCGAGUUGUUUGGGAAUGCAGCUCAAAAUGGGUGGUAAAUUUCAUCUAAAGCUAAAUAUUGGCGAGAGACCGAUAGCGAACAAGUACCGUGAGGGAAAGAUGAAAAGAACUUUGAAAAGAGAGUUAAACAGUGCGUGAAAUUGUUGAAAGGGAAACGCUUGAAGU